CCUACGGGAGGCAGCAGUGGGGAAUUUUGGACAAUGGGCGAAAGCCUGAUCCAGCCAUGCCGCGUGAGUGAAGAAGGCCUUCGGGUUGUAAAGCUCUUUCGGCCGGGACGAAAUCGCACGAGUGAAUAUCGCGUGUGGAUGACGGUACCGGCAGAAGAAGGACCGGCUAACUACGUGCCAGCAGCCGCGGUAAUACGUAGGGUCCGAGCGUUAAUCGGAAUUACUGGGCGUAAAGCGUGCGCAGGUGGUUUUGUAAGCCAGAUGUGAAAGCCCCGGGCUUAACCUGGGAACUGCAUUUGGGACUGCAAGGCUAGAGUACGGCAGAGGGGGGUAGAAUUCCUGGUGUAGCAGUGAAAUGCGUAGAUAUCAGGAGGAAUACCGAUGGCGAAGGCAGCCCCCUGGGUCGAUACUGACGCUCAUGCACGAAAGCGUGGGGAGCAAACAGGAUUAGAUACCCUGGUAGUCCACGCCCUAAACGAUGUCAACUAGUUGUUGGGGGCCUUACCGCCCUUAGUAACGCAGCUAACGCGUGAAGUUGACCGCCUGGGGAGUACGGUCGCAGAUAACUACAANAGAGUAGACGCGUGAGAGUGCGACGGACGACGACGAGGGAGGAGG
rnacentral:rRNA from 1 species